rnacentral:rRNA from 1 species
CGUACACUCCUACGGGAGGCAGCAGUGGGGAAUAUUGGACAAUGGGCGCAAGCCUGAUCCAGCCAUGCCGCGUGAGUGAUGAAGGCCCUAGGGUUGUAAAGCUCUUUCACCGGUGAAGAUAAUGACGGUAACCGGAGAAGAAGCCCCGGCUAACUUCGUGCCAGCAGCCGCGGUAAUACGAAGGGGGCUAGCGUUGUUCGGAUUUACUGGGCGUAAAGCGCACGUAGGCGGACUAUUAAGUCAGGGGUGAAAUCCCGGGGCUCAACCCCGGAACUGCCUUUGAUACUGGUAGUCUUGAGUUCGAGAGAGGUGAGUGGAAUUCCGAGUGCAGAGGUGAAAUUCGUAGAUAUUCGGAGGAACACCAGUGGCGAAGGCGGCUCACUGGCUCGAUACUGACGCUGAGGUGCGAAAGCGUGGGGAGCAAACAGGAUUAGAUACCCCGGUAGUCCCA